CCACUGCCAUGGAUACUGAUGUAUCCCAAAUGCCUGGAAGGAAAGAACCUACCAAAAGGGCUGCUGCACAGAAGAAGACUAUGACAGUUGUUUCAGACGAUUCUGACAGUGAAGAAGAUGUCGACCUAAAUGAUGACUCUGAGGUUAGCUGCCCCAGAAACAAAAAAGAAAGGAGGGAGAAAACCUGUUGCAAAUGCCAAAGCAGCUAAACCCCCACUCUUCUUGUUGAAAGGAGAUGACCU
rnacentral:misc_RNA from 1 species